rnacentral:rRNA from 1 species
UGGGGAAUAUUGCACAAUGGGCGAAAGCCUGAUGCAGCAACGCCGCGUGAGUGAUGAAGGUCUUCGGAUUGUAAAGCUCUGUCUUUUGGGACGAUAAUGACGGUACCAAAGGAGGAAGCCACGGCUAACUACGUGCCAGCAGCCGCGGUAAUACGUAGGUGGCGAGCGUUGUCCGGAUUUACUGGGCGUAAAGGGUGCGUAGGCGGAUGUUUAAGUGAGAUGUGAAAUACCCGGGCUUAACUUGGGUGCUGCAUUUCAAACUGGAUAUCUAGAGUGCAGGAGAGGAGAAUGGAAUUCCUAGUGUAGCGGUGAAAUGCGUAGAGAUUAGGAAGAACACCAGUGGCGAAGGCGAUUCUCUGGACUGUAACUGACGCUGAGGCACGAAAGCGUGGGUAGCAAACAGGAUUAGAUACCCUGGUAGUCCACGCCGUAAACGAUGAGUACUAGGUGUAGGAGGUAUCGACCCCUUCUGUGCCGCAGUAAACGCAUU